UGGAGCAGCUCGGUAGCUCGCUGGGCUCAUAACCCAGAGGUCGCAGGUUCAAAUCCUG
rnacentral:tRNA from 3 species